AUGGCCUCCCCAGCAGCAGCGUGCAGCCUCCCGACCCCCACAGCGCCUUCCCUCGACGCCAAACCCGUGGACGAGGCCGGCCUCCGCCGCUUGAGACGCCGCCGGCGCCGCCGCUGCAUCUGCAUCUGCGCCCUGGUCACCCUCGGCGUGCUCCUGCUCCUGGGCGUCACCCUCCUCGUCCUCUUCCUCACCGUGUUCCGCGUGCGCGACCCCACCACGCGCCUGCUCUCCACCCGCCUCGUCGGCCUCGCGCCCAGCCUCACCCACCCAAACUUCACGCUGCUGCUCACCGUGGCCGUGCACAACCCCAACCCGGCCUCCUUCGCCUACGCCUCCGGCACCACCGGCCUCUGGUACCGGGGCGCCCACGUCGGCGACGCCCAGGUCGACCCCGGACGCAUCCCUAGCAAGGGGGACGGGGUCGUGCAGCUGGAGAUGACGGUGCUCACCGCCGGCUUCACCAAGGACAUGGCGCAGCUGAUCAGGGACAUCGAGGCCGGGUCGCUGCCGCUGGACGCCAACGCCAGGAUCCCGGGGAGGGUGGUCGUCUUGGGCGUGUUCAAGCUCAACGUCGUGGCCUACUCUGACUGCCACAUCGUCGUCGGCUUCCCGGACAUGGAGAUCCGAGGCCAGGACUGCCGCGACCACGCUAAGCUCUGA
rnacentral:rRNA from 1 species